ACACGACUACAUUAGACUACCCCUGUAGUCCCAGCCCUAAACGAUGCGCGUUAGGUGUAUCGGUGACCACGAGUCACCGAGGUGCCGAAGGGAAACCGUGAAACGUGCCGCCUGGGAAGUACGGUCGCAAGGCUGAAACUUAAAGGAAUUGGCGGGGGAGCACCACAACGGGUGGAGCUUGCGGUUUAAUUGGAUUCAACGCCGGAAAUCUUACCGGGACCGACAGCAACAUGAAGGCCAGGCUGAAGACUUUGCCGGAUUAGCUG
rnacentral:rRNA from 1 species